GACCCUAAUGAUGAUAAAGUGGUGUGUAGAUAAAGGAUGGAUGGAUAGAUCAGGGCAGCCAUAAUGUUUUUGUGCACGUUUAUUUAUUUGUGGUUUUGUAUUUGCAGGAUGAGCCCACCACUGGUAUGGAUCCUCUCUCCAGACGCUUUUCUGUGGAACUCCAUCAAUGAGUGUUAUUCAGGACAACGAGCUGUGGUCCUCACCUCACACAGCAUGGAGGAAUGUGAGGCGCUGUUACCCGCUUAGCCAUCAUGGUCAAUGGAUCUUUCAAGUGUCUGGGAACCAUUCAGCAUCUUAAAUACAAAUUUGGCGAUGGCUAUGUCGGGUGACCAUGAAGAUCAGGGCCAGCUAAGCCUGGC